rnacentral:lncRNA from 1 species
AAUUAGAGAGGAGAGAUAGAGAGAGAGAGAGUGAGAGAGAGAAAGAGAGAGUUGUUAUUUAUUUCGUGUAGAAUAGUUGGAGCAACAACAAUCUUCUUAUAAAAUGAUAGGGAUCCCCUUUAUAUAGAAGGAGGGAUCUAAACAUAGUACCGACUGCAUUAAUUGUACAAGUAUAGAGAUGGGAUGGCUAGAUAUGACACCAGGCUCUGCAUUGCUACCUGUACACAUUGGGAACUACCCAUCGCCCGCAUUGUCAUUUGAUCAGGCGUAAGUGGAUAUGGAGGGAGGAAACUCGACUGCUACCUUUCUGCCUCGAGAUCUCGAGUUGAUUUCCCGAAACACCUUAAUGACGAGAGAUUGGACCCUCUGAUUUCACUUUGUACAACCUCCUAAUCAUGCAUGAGUUUAAUAUGAAGAUCUAACUAACAUCAGCAGAUGCUUACAUAUCAGUCAUUAGUUCGAUAAAACAAUUAACAAAAUUAUAGAGAAGCAUAAAAGAUAUGAGAGUACACUCAAAUAUCAUGACCAUAAACCAACAUCAUAAUAGUAAUAUGAUUUUUAUCCACAAUAGUUUUAUACUCUAUAGGAUUAAAUGAACCAAUAUAAGAGAUGAAUGAUGUUCAAGAUAGGGAGACUCUAUACUAUGCAAGUUUAUAUCAACUAUACAGAUUAAGAAGUGGUAGUCUAAAUAUGAUGGGGUUCCAUUGAAAUUACUGACCUAAUAAUAAUACUCAGCCAUAGCAGAUAUUAUUAUAGCCUAAUUCAUAAAAGAUGACUUGAUCAGGACAAAAUAGAAACUGAAAUAGUUACUGAAGUUCAUCAGUGAGUUGGCCUAGUUACCUUAAUGAGAUUGUUUCAUAUAAUAAGUCUCACAUAUGUGAUUAAUAGUUAAAUAUGAACACAAGACUUUCAUAGAAAUAACUCAAAGGCUACUUCAGACUAAUAAACACUCUUGUGAAGAAAGUAAAUACCUUAAACAUUUAAACUUGACAUACUUCGACUAAGUAGUAAACGAUUAAAGCAUGAGUAUUUAUAUCCAUAUUUUUUAAAAUCAUCAAAUAACAACUUCAUGUACAGACUAUACUAAACAGGAUUAGUGUGACAGGCAUGAAGAACUCAACAGAUUAUUAGAGAGAUCUGAAUAUAGGAAACUGUCAAGGCAGAUUAAACAAAUUUAUUGUAUAAGAUGUUCGAUUCAGAAUAACAGUCAUCGAGGUCACAUAAUGACUCAAUCAAACUGAUGUAUGACACAAAAAAGUAUAAUAGCCAACCAUAAAUUAGUAGCAAAUCAUUAUGAGCAGGAACAAAUAGUUAUAAUCUAAUGAAAACUAUCAUAAACUAAUGUAGUCGAUAUAAUGACAACAGUGUAUUUAGCAUUUUGGAUCAAAAAUCAAAUGAGAAAGAGUGGAGGUAUACUGAUCUCCUUUUGUGCAACAGAUCAACUUAGCUAUGCAAGAAACAGAGCUUCAAGCUUUGAGCAGUGAACUAGGAAUCAAAAGAGAAAAAUAGAAAUCAAUAAGAGAUCCCGACUUAGAAUAUUAGUGUGGUUUUAAUACUCUUAUUAUGGUUUCUUAGCUCUUAUUAGGACCUUUACGUGAGAGCACUGAAGGCUCUAUUUAUAGUGGCAUUUAAUGCUUUGGGUUACUUAUUCAGACUAGGUAGUGGAAGAUGACGGAGGGUAUAUGAUGUGAGAAAAAUUGAGUGAGAUUAAAGACGACAAAUGUGAGAACAAUGAUAGCUUUUACCUGAGGGAAGAACACUAUGCGUUGCAAGCAAAAUCAUUAGAUAAAAAUACCAAUGUCCAGAAGAAUCUAUGUUUGGCCUCUAGACCUAGAAUAAUGAUGAUGACACUAUAAAAUGGUCAUGGAUGCCACUAAUUUUGAUAGACCAUAAGGAAUCUCGGAGGAUUCGACCUUUAAACAAUUGGUCUAGGGUUUUGAAUUUUGACUUGAGAUAAAGCGAGUAAUUCUGUGACUUUGGACUUAUGAGAACAAAGAUGAAAUUGUGUUUCGAUACUACGGUUAACGUUCAGUUGCUUCAAUUUGAUGAAAAAAAGGGAAAUACCAACCGGAUUCUUGUAUUCCGGAGCCAGAUAGGUGACUUGAUGAAAGAUCUCAUGACCUUGUACUUAUUUGUGAAAGUUCCGUUGAUUGAUGUUCAUAAGGGAUUUUAAAGCAGAGAGAAAGAAAGGGAAAUGGGGGCGAUUAUAUGAGAUAAGAAUGAGAGAGUUGAUCUGGGCCGUUAAUCUUUCAGAUCAACGGUCCUGGUAUUUAGGGAUUAAACUAAU